rnacentral:rRNA from 1 species
GAUCGAUUUACAUUUGAGUGAGUGGCGAACUGGGUGAGUAACACGUGGGAAACCUGCCCAGAAGCGGGGGAUAACACCUGGAAACAGAUGCUAAUACCGCAUAACAACUUGGACCGCAUGGUCCGAGUUUGAAAGAUGGCUUCGGCUAUCACUUUUGGAUGGUCCCGCGGCGUAUUAGCUAGAUGGUGGGGUAACGGCUCACCAUGGCAAUGAUACGUAGCCGACCUGAGAGGGUAAUCGGCCACAUUGGGACUGAGACACGGCCCAAACUCCUACGGGAGGCAGCAGUAGGGAAUCUUCCACAAUGGACGAAAGUCUGAUGGAGCAACGCCGCGUGAGUGAAGAAGGGUUUCGGCUCGUAAAACUCUGUUGUUAAAGAAGAACAUAUCUGAGAGUAACUGUUCAGGUAUUGACGGUAUUUAACCAGAAAGCCACGGCUAACUACGUGCCAGCAGCCGCGGUAAUACGUAG